rnacentral:lncRNA from 1 species
GCCGUCCAGGAAAAACCAUAAAUCAUUAUUUACCGGUAUAUGUAUAUGAAUGGAAACCUGUAUCCAUUGCCAAUACUGAAGCCUAUCUCAGGAUCAUACUGUUAAUUAGGAAAUCAGCAAAGGAGCUUACUAUGUUGAAAGACAGCUAGAAAGUGAAGUGCUUGAAAAACACCAAUAUAGCUUAACACAAAAUUUGACUUCCUGAUUGGUCAAGUUUGUCAUGCCUUAUGAAUAUUUAUGAAAAUGUAACGACAAUACAAUAUUCCCUGCUUUACUAUACAAACCAUGAGAAAAUACAAUUAUUAAAUCAAUAAAAA